CGCACGAGAACGCUUCAGCUUGCUGAAGCUAGUAAAGUGGCGCACGGGUGAGUAACGCGUGGGUAAUCUAUCUCUGAAUUGGGGAUAACAUUGCGAAAGCGAUGCUAAUACCGGAUAAUAUCCAUUAAGCCUCGGUUUUUUGGAUCAAAGGUGGCCUCUACAUGUAAGCUACUGUUUGGAGACGAGCCCGCGUACCAUUAGCUUGUUGGUAGGGUAACGGCCUACCAAGGCAACGAUGGUUAGCUGGUCUGAGAGGAUGAUCAGCCACACUGGAACUGACACGCGGUCCAGACUCCUACGGGAGGUAGCAGUGAGGAAUUUUGCGCAAUGGGGGAAACCCUGACGCAGCAACGCCGCGUGAGUGAUGAAGGCUUUCGGGUCGUAAAGCUCUGUCAAGUGGGAAGAACCCGCGCCGUGCAAAUAGUGCGGUGCGUUGACGGUACCACUGAAGGAAGCACCGGCUAACUCCGUGCCAGCAGCCGCGGUAAUACGGGGGGUGCAAGCGUUAUUCGGAAUCAUUGGGCGUAAAGAGCGCGUAGGCGGUCUUCUAUGUCAGAUGUGAAAGCCCGGGGCUCAACCCCGGAAGUGCAUUUGAAACUGGGAGACUUGAGUAUGGGAGAA
rnacentral:rRNA from 1 species